AGCUGGUGUUCCUCACCAAACACAAGGUUGUUGGUAUUCCCAAGAGACCAAAGACAAAUAUGACCUUGGCGUCCAUUCAUAUUAAAGAGGUGAAGCGCAAGAAGCCAGCAAUCGAUGUGGAGGAACACCUGCAAUAUGUGAAGGGGAACCUAACUUGCAUGCGAAACGAGCCAGAAAAAGGUUCGAAGAAGUCGGACUUAUGCUUCACGCGACUUGUAUCUGUUCUCCGCGACAUACCUG